rnacentral:piRNA from 1 species
UCUGAAAUCACUCCACGGACCUGCUCCAGU